rnacentral:rRNA from 1 species
GACGAACGCUGGCGGCGUGCCUAAUACAUGCAAGUCGAGCGCAGGAAACCGUCUGAACCCUUCGGGGGGACGACGGUGGAAUGAGCGGCGGACGGGUGAGUAACACGUAAAGAACCUGCCCACGGGUCUGGGAUAACCACGAGAAAUCGGGGCUAAUACCGGACGGGUCAUCGGACCGCAUGGUCCGAGGAUGAAAGGCGCUCCGGCGUCGCCCGGGGAUGGCUUUGCGGUGCAUUAGCUAGUUGGUGGGGUAACGGCCCACCAAGGCGACGAUGGAUAGCCGACCUGAGAGGGUGAUCGGCCACACUGGGACUGAGACACGGCCCAGACUCCUACGGGAGGCAGCAGUAGGGAAUCUUCCACAAUGGACGAAAGUCUGAUGGAGCAACGCCGCGUGAACGAUGAAGGCCCUCGGGUCGUAAAGUUCUGUUGUAAGGGAAGAACAAGUGCCGCAGGCAAUGGCGGCACCUUGACGGUACCUUGCGAGAAAGCCACGGCUAACUACGUGCCAGCCGCCGCCGUAACAC